rnacentral:misc_RNA from 1 species
AAAGUCGUAACAAGGUAACCGUAGGUGAACCUGCGGUUGGAUCAUUAAUGAUUUUUUUGAUUUUAGUUGGUAGAGAAUCUUUAAAGAUUCUCCCACUAUAAUCUAUCAACCCUUUGUGCAAUAUGAUGUUUUUUGGGUGUUUGCUUUUGCAGCACCCAGCAGUUUAUUAAACCCUUUUAUUUUUAAGACUGAGAUUUACCAAUGUAAAAAAAAUUAACAACUUUUGACAACGGAUCUCUUGGCUCUC